rnacentral:rRNA from 1 species
AGCGAACGCUGGCGGCGUGCCUAACACAUGCAAGUCGAACGUGAAAGGGAGCAAUCCCAAGUAAAGUGGCGUACGGGUGAGUAACACGUAGGUAAUCAACCCCAGAAUCUGGAAUAACCGGCCGAAAGGCUGGCUAAUACUGGAUAGAGCGACGGAAUCCGUAAUUGGGUUUUUCGGGAAAGGGAGCCUGUAAAAAGGCCUUCGUUCUGGGAUGAGCCUGCGUCCCAUCAGCUAGUUGGUGAGGUAAAAGCUUACCAAGGCAAUGACGGGUAGCUGGUCUGAGAGGACGGUCAGCCACACUGGAACUGAAACACGGUCCAGACUCCUACGGGAGGCAGCAGUGGGGAAUCUUGCGCAAUGGACGAAAGUCUGACGAAGCAACGCCGCGUGAGUGAAGAAGGCCGUCGGGUUGUAAAGCUCUGUCGAGUGGGACGAAAAUGCUUGGAGUUCACAGCUCCAGGAACUGACGGUACCACUAAAGGAAGCACCGGCUAACUCCGUG